rfam:Nematostella vectensis strain CH2 x CH6 NEMVEscaffold_859_Cont33504, whole genome shotgun sequence.
CCUUCGAUAGCUCAGUUGGUAGAGCGGGGGACUGUAGAGUUAUCACUGUAAUCCCUAGGUCGCUGGUUCGAAUCCGGCUCGAAGGA